rnacentral:hammerhead_ribozyme from 1 species
AUUUAGCUGGUGAGUCCAAAAUAGAACGAAACAUGCAUCCUGGAU